rnacentral:rRNA from 1 species
UGGGGAAUCUUGGACAAUGGGCGCAAGCCUGAUCCAGCCAUGCCGCGUGAGUGAAGAAGGUCUUCGGAUUGUAAAGCUCUUUUGCCAGGGACGAUAAUGACGGUACCUGGAGAAUAAGCCCCGGCAAACUUCGUGCCAGCAGCCGCGGUAAUACGAAGGGGGCUAGCGUUGUUCGGAAUUACUGGGCGUAAAGCGCACGUAGGCGGGUCGUUAAGUCAGGGGUGAAAUCCCGGAGCUCAACUCCGGAACUGCCUUUGAUACUGGCGAUCUAGAGAUCGGAAGAGGUGAGUGGAAUUCCCAGUGUAGAGGUGAAAUUCGUAGAUAUUGGGAAGAACACCAGUGGCGAAGGCGGCUCACUGGUCCGAUACUGACGCUGAGGUGCGAAAGCGUGGGGAGCAAACA